UGUGCUGUCGCACCAUUUGUCGUUUGUCUGUUCCGCGGCUUUUCGUCUGUGUAUUCAAAAAGUAUUUACUGAGUGCCACCGUGAUCUCGACAGAUAGCCACGGCCCCUGCCGUUAUGGAGGUUACCGAGUGGCGGAGGAGGCCGACAUCAGUCAAAGUUGAAGGUAAAAAUUGCCGAUCAACUGUAAAAUUGUAACAUCAAUCUUCCGAGUCUUCAGGCUGCUCUUCUCUGUUUUCUCCCAAGGAUUGUCAGUUUGGGGGCGUGAAUGGCCACAAAACUGGUCACAAUAUACCUGGAGUAUGCCAAAAUGGCAGGAAAAGUAUUCCCCAUCCCACAUGUGCUUAGUGUGUGAAUUUAACACUCUUCCUCUCAAGAAAUGGGGUUGAUGUUCCCUAUCCUUAAUCUGGGCAUGCUUGUGACUGGAGCAAAAGUGAUUUUUCCAGUCUAGGUGAUAAAAGGUGAUGCAGCAUGUGCUUAAUUUUCUUGCGUGCUUACUCUUGGAACCCAACCAGCAAGCCGUGCAGAAGCCUGAGUUUGUUGUAGGUGUUUUGGCUGUCAGUUCAAGCUGAGGUCUCAGCCGAAAGGCAUCAUCAGCCACCAGAUGCGAGAGUGAACGAACCUUUGGAUGAUUGCAGCCCCCAACUGUCAAGUCACUAACAGCCUUCCAGACUUCCAAAUUGGAGCCCCAGAAAUUGUGGAGCAGAGACAUCCUCACUAGGCUUUUUCUGAAUUCCUGACCUACAGAAUUUGGGGGCAUAAUAAAUGGUUAUUUCAUACUUUUAA